CCAAAUUUUCUGGAGAAUGAAAUAAAUGUAAUUUUAUGGGAAUAACAUUUAAAGGGAGAUUAGAAGAUACUUGAGAAAGUGUUUUUAAAUUCCAACCUACAGUCUCUGCACAAAGGACUAUCAGAUUCAGCAUUUGGGUCAUACAGCUUUGAUUACCUUCAACAGCAUUUUUCUUCUGAAAAAAAGAGAAAUUGAAGCCGUUGCAGCCAUCGUUAGCGAGCGGCGGGCAGCGGCGGAUGGGAAGGGCAGCAGCUCUGAGCAGGGGAGCAGCACGUUCCCAUUUGCUGCUGGUGCCUGUUCCCAGUCCGAGGGCUGGGGGAGCUGGCGACAGCUGCGGGGUGUCUCCAGCGAUGAUCUGUGCCCGUGGCUUUGCUGGUGCCCGCAGUGGGGAAUCAGAAGUUAUUUCAGGGAGGAGAAUGGCUUUUGUGCUGUGGCUGUGGGAAAAUCAUGCUGCGUUUGGUUUGCACGGGCUGUGAGAUGGGACCCUGGAGAAAUAAGUCUCUUCUGCUUAGUAAUAUGUAUCAUAAAUGAAUAAAUGUCACACUGUCUUGCUCCUGUUUUCUCUAUUUCUUAGCAGAACGGGAUCUUGAGAUGCAUCUCUGCAAGCUGACUCAUUCUGGAUCUUAUUAAAACGUCUCCUUUUGACUUGCACGCCUCUGAAAACCAGAAGGCAAAGAAAUGGCUUGCAGACAGCAGAGCAGAAACGAUUAGGCAAUGUAAUUCUCAGAGGCUUUCCGUGUCAGAAAGGGGGCCAUGGGAUUUAUCCUACCUUCCAGCAGCGUAAAUCCAUCCGUGUGGAAGGGACACCAUCUUCCCCCACCUCCUCAAUGCUAACUUCAGCGAGUCUCUUUCCAUUUUUCUUCAGUGUCUGCUGCCUGCCAUCCCUCUGCCUUUAUCCCAUUAGAAGUUUGCCAGAGAACUGUGAUUUACUCCAAAUGAAAUUUUAGUAGUAAAAAGAAUAGAGUCACUUUAAUUAUUUUUCCCUUUGAAAGUGGGAUGGUGAGCAAUAUUGUCUACGAGGCUCCAGUUAAUUUGGCUUUUAGCCUAUUUUGCAGUUAUUCACCUGCAUUUCUUAACUAUGUUAUUCACUGUAGGCAUGGAUAGUGGAAGAAAUCAUAAAUCUUGCUGCAUACUAUUAAGCUAAGGAAAACCCUGGGAAUCAGCGGCCUUGGCUGGGAUGCUCUGAAGUGUUCCCUGAUUCGACACGACGCCCCUGCACACCAGGUCCCCCACCGCCCUGCUUCUGCACCCCCUCAGAACGUGCUGGUCUGUGCGUGAGUGCUAUUGCUGCGCCGAGGGGCUUAAAUCACAGUAGUACAGUGUGGGCUGAGAACCCUGAUGUCGGGAGUGGGGGUAGGAAAGAGACUUUCAGCUUUUCCUGGGACAGCUUAAAGAGACGAGGUUUCCACAAAAUUGGUCAAAUGCACCAUUUCUUCCCCGAAGUUAUACGGAAAAAGAAAACAUCCAUAAGUAUUGCUAAGGAGGAGGAACCUGCUUUCCCUUUUUUUUUUUGUCUUAGUACCUCACUUCUCCAGAAGAGACUUUCAGUACGAUAACAAAGUGUUUUAUAGCAAAGAAUAUUUUCUGACUACUACCAGUGAGUUGAUGUAUGAAAAAAGAAGCACCAGUAGUGAGGCUGAUUAGCCACAAUAGAUUAUGCAAUCUAGAAAACAUGUCAGCCACUGAGUGUGCAGGAUCUCUGACGGGCAGAAAAUCUCAUUACUGAGCCGGGGAGAGCGGCCAGGCGCCGUUUUAUUCAAAAUACAAAUGUGCAAAUUAGCUACAAUGAAAGGCCAAGCUGUCGGAAACAGAAGCUGUUUACAUCUCAUUGCAAAUGCGAAAGUAGAGCCUGUUUCAUUAUAAAAGAUGUCACAGGCCAGGGAUUUGUACUUGAAGACAGUCUUACUUUCCCAAUGGGAAAUUCAGGCUUGUGGCCAUAACAUCCGACAGUGCGGUGGCUGGAUCCAAACCCCUCCGCAUGGGGCCAGCCCUCUGCAGAGCCAGGCUGAGUGGAGCUGCAGGGGCCAACAACAACAGAGAUGGUUUUGCUGCAAAAGAUGAUGUAGAAAUUUUCCAUAUUGUGAUGGUAAUUCCUCUCUUCUAGAGCUGGGGCUAAGGGACUGGUGGAAACCCCCUGUUUUGUCCUCGUUUUUGAAGACUCCAGCAUCUGCAGUGACCCUGGUACCAUUUACAGCCAGUUUCAAGUACUUACUGAAGAAUUGUUAGAAAAAAGCACAUUAAUUAUAAGCAGAGCAUCAGCUGGCAGCGAGUAGUGCAGAGUGCCACGACUGCGGGAGGAGCCGCACAGCCCAGCGAGUACAGCUCUGCGGUGGGGAACAAAUGUGCAGUUGAGGGUUUACGGAUGAGAAAGAGCAUCUUAUUUUGGCUACCCUACAACUGAGCUAGAUGAAAUGCUGCUGUGCUCUGAUACAACACUUGCCGUGUUUCCACGGCGGAGGGGAUGUUCUUGUGGUUGCUGUAAGUAUUUAAAACAUAGCUGCAUGGCAGAGUGAUUUCCGCGGAUCUUACCUUAGGGAUUUACAGGAUCUUCAGUAAAUCUGACCCCUGGGCACCGUUCUCCCCUUCCAGACGCAGCAUAACGCACCACUGCCUUUCUUGGCUGGUGGUGCUCUUGGUGUCAGCGUGGGGACACCUGCCCCUGGCCGGGGGGAGCAGACCCCGGGCACUGGAGAUGGAGCAGAGGGAGCUGUCCCACCCCAGCACUGCAAAGGCUGAGAACUGCUUAAUGUUCUGCAUUUUGGUGGAAAAUCAGCAUAUGUGUGGCACAAGAGGCUAGGAACAGUUUGUAUCCAAACUCUGCUCCCAAGUCCUUCAGCUGAAAAAGGCUAAAUCUGUGCAGGAGAGCUGAAAUACCACCUGAGAAACACUUCAAUUAAUGGACUGACAUUUUUGCCUUUGUAUUUCACCUAUUUUACCCAUUUUUCCUCUGCAUGGGAAUGCAAAAUAUUGUUUCCUAUUUGAUAGCUACUGUCUGUUACCUUAAUUGCAGCUCUCGCUGGGGGUGAAUACAGAGCACUGAAUGUUGUGCACACUCAGAGACACAGAAAAACCGCACAGGAAAUCACUAAAAGAAAUUUAGCACCGGGAAGUAAAGUAAUCCCAUGCUGAGAAACAAAGGGUCGUAGCGCUGCCUUUUCUGGUGCUUGGAUGCUAAU